rnacentral:tRNA from 2 species
GCUCCUAUGGCUCAGUUGGUAGAGCGCGGCACUAGUAUCUGGUCACCUUCGCCAGCUAUGCCGAGGUCCUGAGUUCAAAUCUCAGUGGGAGCA